rnacentral:rRNA from 1 species
UAUGUGAUCGUCUCUCGCAUAUCAAUAAGCGGAGGAAAAGAAACUAACAAGGAUUCCCUUAGUAACGGCGAGUGAAGCGGGAAGAGCUCAAAUUUGAAAUCUUCAAGGUUUUACCUUGACGAAUUGUAGUUUAAAGAAGUGUUUUCUGUUGAAGUUUUGGUAAAAGUUCUUUGGAAUAGGACAUCAUAGAGGGUGAGAAUCCCGUAUUUGACCAUUAUUUUCAGCUGUGUGAUACACUUUCAAAGAGUCGGAUUGUUUGGGAAUGCAGUCCAAAAUGGGUGGUAAAUUUCAUCUAAAGCUAAAUAUUGGCGAGAGACCGAUAGCGAACAAGUACCGUGAGGGAAAGAUGAAAAGAACUUUGAAAAGAGAGUUAAACAGUACGUGAAAUUGUCAAAAGGGAAGCGUUUGACACCAGUGUUGUUUUCUCGAAAAUCAAUUAAAAAGAGUUAGAUUUUGUUGUGUAUUGGACCUUAACAGCUUGCAUUUCAAUUUUCUUGCUUUUUUUAAUGCACUUUUCGUUUAACAAGUCAACAUCAGUUUCUUUUGUUGUAAAAAGGUCAUUGGAAGGUGGCUUUCUUUUCGGAGAAAGUGUUUAUAGCCUUUGACUCCUGCAAUCGGAGAGACUGAGGUCUGCAGCGUAGAUCCUUCGGGGUUAGAUACAUUUGUGCUAAGUUAUAGCUUUUUAUAGACAACUUGUUGACUAUGAUUAGUCUUGUAGCUUACUCGCUUAUGCUAUUUUACCUACGCUUAGGAUGUUGAAGAUGUAGCACAUCAU